UCCCAUAUGUCUGGGAUAUCUGGCUUUCACCCAGAAGGCCCGGGUUCGAUUCCCGGUAUGGGAA
rnacentral:tRNA from 1 species